rnacentral:lncRNA from 1 species
GGCGGCGGUCGCGGCGGCUCCCGGACGGUGGAAGGUAGUGGAAGUGGAAGAAGAAGGAAAAGCGCUGCCGCGCAUGUGCUGACCGCGUAGGGAAGAGCGGGGUUCUGAGUCCGCGCUAAGAAUCCGGAUAUGAAACCCUGCGUCCCGAGACUGGCGCAGCGCGUAGUGUCGCAACUUCCGGGAGCAUGGUGGGCGGUGCUGCUAAGGAUUGAGGGAGCGUGUCAAACUUGAGCUCUUUCGUCAGUGCUAGAAAUGGACGUUUAGUUAUUGAAGCCCGCUGACGAGGGGAGCCAACAAGAGAGGGAUGUCGGCAUCGGGUAUGCAGUUCCAAGAACUGAUUGGCUAUGGAGACUAGAAGUUGGGUGAAAAUUCUCAUAAACUCGGGCAAACGAAUUGAUGAUUUUUCCCUGGUCAGUAAUAAUUCGCACUUUCUUGGAACAACUGCCAUGGCUAACAACCUGACUGCUGGAUAUCCUUCAAAAUGCACUGGUAAAGCUCAAGUGCUUUCUUCUGCUGCAGUUCCUGGGAAAGAUCUUGCAAUUACCCACACUUGUGUUUGCCUUCCUGUGUUUGGGAUCUAUAUAGUUGACUGA